AGGAGAUACUUCAAUUUAAAAAGGCGCAGCACAAGGAGAGCAGACCUGGGUGAGAAGGGAGGUGGCAGCAGGAGAUAAAAACUGAUGGCAGAGAGCCCCUUCAACCUGUUUCUACCUGUCAGAUCUGAAGUGUGACAUCAAAGAAAAACAGGUAGCUGAUUGAUGCACAAGAGUUCAGCAGGGGAAAGGACCUCUCACCUGUGCCAUUUAAAGGGAUCAUUAAUUACCUACAGAAUAUGAAUGGGAGCUCACGCUCAGACUGAAGACUGAGUUCAUGAGGAUUUAAAGGAAGCUGGAAGAUUCACCUAGCUUGGAGCUAGAAGAAUGGAUCUACAGUGUGACCCUCACAGGGAGAGGCAGUUCUUGGAUUAUUAUUUAUCUGUUCUGGAAAGUAAAAGGGAAGCAAGCCAUCGGGAGCUGAGAGUAAUUUUAGACUGUUUCCUGGAGGAUGAAGUGUCCACUUAAGGGACGGUGUAACAUAUUAA